AAAUGAUGAUUAUUUGAUGACGAGUCUGAUUGGGUUUCCCAGAGACGAAAAACUUUUUAACUACCAUUCAUGCAUUGCUGACU
rnacentral:snoRNA from 1 species